rnacentral:lncRNA from 1 species
UCACAUGUUGCAUGUGUGGACAAAAACAGCAAGCCAUGAUUAUUGACUGAUAACAUCUCAUUUUUUAUUACUCCCAACACUCAAUUAAUAUUGUUUAGGCCUCCACCGUUCAAUCCCAUGCCACCCAUUUCACACUUCAGAUCGUGUUAGGUAUCCAACUCUUCACCGUUCAUACAAAUAUCUACCUUAUAUAUACCUUUUUAGCUUCUCUUACACCUUUCGAAGUCUAUAGCUUAAGGAAAAAAAUGAAGGUGAUUUUCGUUCCACUGUCGAUGAGGAAGAAUGAAGAUGAAGAAUUGGGAUCCACUGUGGUCACCGACAAUGUAGAGGAGGAUCUAAAGCUCGCGAUCAAGGACCACAAGGCAUGGUUUCUGCUUCUUUUUUGUCUAUGCUUUCGUGGAUAUCAUGUAGAGAAUACAAAGAAUGUGUUCUCUUCAUCAGAACUAACUAAUCAGUCGACGAAAAAUU